ACACAGGUAUGAGGGCCCAGUCAAAGGCUAAGCCACGUCUUUGACCGCGGCAGCCGAGAGCCGAGCGGCGAGUUGGCGACCCUCGCCGGCGGCGGCUUGGCUGCGGCAGGGCCCUGCCCCAGAGCUCCGCCUCAAGCUCCCCCACUAGGUGAGGGGGCUCUCGGACGGGUUCCGGCAGUACUGCGCUGGUGAAGGGGCUGACCCAAGAGGCGGUGCGCAGUGCUCAACAUGCCUGGCUGUAAUGUUGUUGAUUGUGUUUCUGUAGGCACAAUUAUUAUAAGUUUUUCUGCUGCCGUACCACCAUUCGCUUGAUUUCUAUCUUGAUCUAUUUUUAUUUGUUUGGCAUGAGGCAUGACCUACAGGUUGAUGAUAAUGUUUGGCUUGAUUUGGCUUAUACUCUAGCAUACUAUGUGUUUGUGAUAUUGUCUAGGCAAAGGUUAGAUAGCUCCUAAUGCAUUUUGACAUCUUGUCCAUCCAGUUUGGUCCCUUUAAUAUUUUUUUUUGAAAAGCCAUCCGGCAAGCUUUAUUAAUCUGAAAACAUUGUUACAUCGUUUGAUAAAAAGAGGAAUAAUACAAUUAGGGGGUUCGUCGACCCAAAUACAUGAAACUUUUGACAUAAACCCUUGCCGAGCUAGCUCAUGGGCAACUUGGUUGGAUUCUCUAUCACAAUGCUCAGUAGAAAUUUUUGUAAAUUCCCUCAACAAAUUAUCACAUUCAUCCAAAAUUGGAGCUGAAGCCAUCGCCGAAAAAUUACCAUCCUGUAUAGAUUGGACAACUUCCAAACAGUCAGAUUGUACUAUGAUUGUGCUGCAGCCUAACUGUUGUGCUAAUCUUAGACCCUCUCUCAAAGCAUAUGUCUCAGCCAUUUGAGCAUCUAGUACUAGAGGAGAAUACUUGUUUGCCGCUGCUAUGAUCGAUAAUGCAGCAUGUCCCUUGUGCCAGACAAGCAGUGAAGAUAUUAAGCAUAUGAUGUUUACAUGUGGCCGAGCAAAGUCUAUUUGGAAUUUCCUAGGAAUAGGGAGCCAAAUUGAUCCCUUUAAUAUUAUGUUACACUUUUCCUGCUGGAGGUUCUCACUGAGGUACACAACAGAUACAAAGGAAUUGAACACAGAGGCCAUGGUGCUGAGCAAAGGGAGGGGCUGUUCUUGUUUAUGGUGCACUGCUGAGGUUUGAGGGAUGGAUUAGUAGAUUUUCCUCAUUUUGAUCCUAAGCUUUCGUAGGGAUCAUGGGGCCUCAGGUCCUGCAACGGAUUUCUCUUUCUUAUUGACGAAAAGAAAAGGAGGAAUCACAUUGUUCGUUCUUUGGCAUCUCUUCAGAAUGGAUUUCGUUGGUAAGUUCUUUGUCCCUCUGUCAUUUGCUCUCUUUCCAAUUUUAUUUGGCUCACUGCAAUGGAUUAUUAAACAUGGUAGCACAUUCAUAUCCUAAAGAAAGUCUUUUAUGUCAAAAUUAAUAUACAUGUACAAUACCUGCAUCAUCAUCCCAAUGUUGAAAUGUUCAUUUCCUGCUUCUUACAAGGAUGUUUUAAGACAUUCUAAUUGCAGUUUUCCUUGUGUUCCUUAAUGGUCACUUCAUGAGGCAUGUGCUAUGCUGUUUCUACUCAUGCAUAUAUCAAUAUUUUUUUUUUGGUAAUAAAGAUCUAUAAUGUUCAGUGGCAGUGUCAAAGGUAUUGAUUCAUUUGUAAAAGAAUUAUCAGUUGCCAUCUUUUUUGUUGCAUUUUUGCUCACAGAAGUCAAAUAGGACGAAAAAGUAAAAAAAACAGCAGGCAAAUAAAGAAGGAAUUGUAUAUGGUAGUAUGGAACUAUUUCCAUUUCAGAUAUGAAAUGGGUUCAAUCCAGUAUGUGCACAUGAAUAGUAUAUGCGUAGAGGCCAGUUACUAACGAUCUUAUCUGUUUAUUAUUCACCUGAGUUAUUGUUGCUUCUUCAAUUUCCAGAGCGUGUGCUUGAGAAUGCUUUGUUGUCGACAAAUACAAAGUUUGUCAGUGUUUUGGUGCUUGCAGUUACAGGCUUUCGAAGAAGUUCAGGAGCAGCCUCUUCAUUGUUUCUUGCAAUGGUUCUUUCUCUACUGUAUGUAGCAAGUUCAAGGUGAAAGCUAUCAAUAAAAAUAAGGUUUAUAAAGUUUGGAUCAUGUUUACUUGCCUUUGGUGUAUAGGUAUUCAGUUUCUGGUCCUUGUAUUCUUGCUCAGGUAGUCAGGUAGCUGAAUGAUUUAGACUUUUGGAAUGAUCUGGUGCUUUAUUCAUGUGCUCCAAUGACCAUGCUAAGAAAAAUGCCUUCAUGAUUUUCUGCCAUGCGAAAACUAUUUAUCUAAAGUAAAUGAUAUUUCAUCUAUUGUUUAUUGAAUUGCAUUUGCAUAUGGCUACUAUGAUGUUGAUAGAACAAAUUUUCAAACUACAUUGCAAUCUUUCCUUGCUGUAGGUUCCCUUUUUCAGAAAGAGGUUGAUAGUUGAUGCUUUUUUAGAAAGGUGUGUGCCGGAUUGAUGUACCUGAUCAUAUUGCCAGUGGAGAUAUUUUGAGUGUCUGGCCCCUUAAGAUUCAAUCAGAAUGAAACUGUGGAAAGAAGCCAUGCAAAACUUGGAAUAAUAAAGCCUGCUGCCUCCUCACGCUUCUACGUCAUGCCUCCCUCCCAUGCCACACAACUCCCACCGCUCGCCGCGCCACCGGUGAAGCCUGCUGCCGGGGAAGGGAAGAAACUCAGUUGCUCGCCGCGCUGUGAGCGCCGCUGGUGAAGCCCACUGCUGCACCACCGGUGAAGCCCACCACUGGGGAAGGGAAGAGAGGCGGUUGCUCGCCCCAUCCACCGCCUCCCUGCCCAACCCUGCUCUGAGACGCCAGCGGUACAGUGCUGCUACGGUGUCAGAGGCAGCACCUGUUAUCGGUGCUCUGGGCAACCCAAGCAUUCCUAUCAUGGCUACCAGUGACGGAUGGGAGCAACCUGUUCGUGCGUGCUUUGCUAGUGUUUCAGUGUUCUUGUGUCCCGGUUCACUAAGAUCAGGAUCCAGAGAAAGAUUAAUGUUCACUCAAGUGAUAUUCACAUGGGUAGCACUGGUCAGAUUCUUUGGUGAAUCUGGAGUUGCCGUGUUGCGCUUGCAGAAACUUUAACCUGCCCCCAAUUCAUGAGGCCUCCUUCGUAAAUCCUUUUACUGUAGAAGCAAGGGCAAGUUCAGCGCUUGUCACCCGGAAGGAGCUGUAAAUAUCCCCUACAUGUACAGGACCGGCUCAGGAGAAUGCAUCAUCCAUGUUUGGUAUCAUGGGCCUGCUGUACAAGCUUGAAGUAUCAGAUUUGUCACUGCGUUAUAAGCCUGCUGGUGCCUGCUGCUUUAUCAGAGCAGGAGGAUGAUCCACAUGCUCACUGUAUUUUAGGAGGGAUUUAGCACUAUAACUGUAGAUUUGGUGGAGUACCACGUAGCCUGACUCAGUCAUUUUCUUAUCUGCCGAAGGAGCUGGUGGUGAGCUGGUGGUGAUCUGGUGGCAGUCAUUUUCUUCUCUGCCUAACCAUGAUGUUGUAAUAACCAUCACCCACUAGCAGUGACAAUCUGGUGGUAAAAUAAAACUAAUCACUGUACCAAAAUAUAAAAUCAGCCAAAAUAGGAGAUGAAGUCCAAUUGCUACCAAUUAGAACUCUACCAGUUUGGCUUGUAAGUGAUCUGCAUAGAAGAGGGUACAAUGAACAGUUGGAUCUUGAGGUCACUACAGAUGCCUUCCACUCUAGGACUUACAAGAACCACGAAUCUAAUGCAAUUAUAAACUGCUCACUGGAGUCUACAACUCUCUGAAUAAAAAGAAGCUAACAUUAAUGAGUGCA